rnacentral:rRNA from 1 species
CCUACGGGAGGCUGCAGUGAGGAAUAUUGGUCAAUGGACGAGAGUCUGAACCAGCCAAGUAGCGUGAAGGAUGACUGCCCUAUGGGUUGUAAACUUCUUUUAUAUGGGAAUAAAAUGUUCCACGUGUGGGAUUUUGUAUGUACCAUAUGAAUAAGGAUCGGGCAACUCCGUGCCAGCAGCCGCGGUAAUACGGAGUAUCCAAGCGUUAUCCGGCUUUAUUGGGUUUAAAGGGAGCGUAGGUGGAUUGUUAAGUCAGUUGUGAAAGUUUGCGGCUCAACCGUAAAAUUGCAGUUGAAACUGGCAGUCUUGAGUAAAGUAGAGGUGUGCGGAAUUCGUGGUGUAGCGGUGAAAUGCUUAGAUAUCACGAAGAACUCCGAUUGCGAAGGCAGUUCACUGGACUGCAACUGACACUGAGGCGCGAAAGUGUGGGUAUCAAACAGGAUUAGAUACCCCUGUAGUC